rnacentral:rRNA from 1 species
GAUGAACGCUGGCGGCGUGCCUAAUACAUGCAAGUCGAGCGAACGGACGAGAAGCUUGCUUCUCUGAUGUUAGCGGCGGACGGGUGAGUAACACGUGGAUAACCUACCUAUAAGACUGGGAUAACUUCGGGAAACCGGAGCUAAUACCGGAUAAUAUUUUGAACCGCAUGGUUCAAAAGUGAAAGACGGUCUUGCUGUCACUUAUGGAUGGAUCCGCGCUGCAUUAGCUAGUUGGUAAGGUAACGGCUUACCAAGGCAACGAUGCAUAGCCGACCUGAGAGGGUGAUCGGCCACACUGGAACUGAGACACGGUCCAGACUCCUACGGGAGGCAGCAGUAGGGAAUCUUCCGCAAUGGGCGAAAGCCUGACGGAGCAACGCCGCGUGAGUGAUGAAGGUCUUCGGAUCGUAAAACUCUGUUAUUAGGGAAGAACAUAUGUGUAAGUAACUGUGCACAUCUUGACGGUACCUAAUCAGAAAGCCACGGCUAACUACGUGCCAGCAGCCGCGGUAAUACGUAGGUGGCAAGCGUUAUCCGGAAUUAUUGGGCGUAAAGCGCGCGUAGGCGGUUUUUUAAGUCUGAUGUGAAAGCCCACGGCUCAACCGUGGAGGGUCAUUGGAAACUGGAAAACUUGAGUGCAGAAGAGGAAAGUGGAAUUCCAUGUGUAGCGGUGAAAUGCGCAGAGAUAUGGAGGAACACCAGUGGCGAAGGCGACUUUCUGGUCUGUAACUGACGCUGAUGUGCGAAAGCGUGGGGAUCAAACAGGAUUAGAUACCCUGGUAGUCCACGCCGUAAACGAUGAGUGCUAAGUGUUAGGGGGUUUCCGCCCCUUAGUGCUGCAGCUAACGCAUUAAGCACUCCGCCUGGGGAGUACGACCGCAAGGUUGAAACUCAAAGGAAUUGACGGGGACCCGCACAAGCGGUGGAGCAUGUGGUUUAAUUCGAAGCAACGCGAAGAACCUUACCAAAUCUUGACAUCCUUUGACAACUCUAGAGAUAGAGCUUUCCCCUUCGGGGGACAAAGUGACAGGUGGUGCAUGGUUGUCGUCAGCUCGUGUCGUGAGAUGUUGGGUUAAGUCCCGCAACGAGCGCAACCCUUAAGCUUAGUUGCCAUCAUUAAGUUGGGCACUCUAAGUUGACUGCCGGUGACAAACCGGAGGAAGGUGGGGAUGACGUCAAAUCAUCAUGCCCCUUAUGAUUUGGGCUACACACGUGCUACAAUGGACAAUACAAAGGGCAGCGAAACCGCGAGGUCAAGCAAAUCCCAUAAAGUUGUUCUCAGUUCGGAUUGUAGUCUGCAACUCGACUACAUGAAGCUGGAAUCGCUAGUAAUCGUAGAUCAGCAUGCUACGGUGAAUACGUUCCCGGGUCU